CGCUAGCUCUGAUAGUAGUAUAAAUUUUUUUUUGAGCCUUUAUCGGCUAAUGAAAAGAUUGCAGCGGAUAGCAGUAAAUAAG
rnacentral:sRNA from 1 species